GUCUACGGCCAUACCACCCUGAACGCGCCCGAUCUCGUCUGAUCUCGGAAGCUAAGCAGGGUCGGGCCUGGUUAGUACUUGGAUGGGAGAGAUCUGGGAGGGAGACG
ensembl:rRNA 5S_rRNA 5S ribosomal RNA